AUGGGACAGAUUGAGUUGAUCGUCGUUAAUGUCACUAAUGACGGUCAAAUUACUGUCCCUACAGAGUAGAGAGUAUGUUGUGAUGCGGAAAUAAUGUAUUUCGACCAUACAUCACAAUAGUACUCCCACAUUU
rfam:Haemonchus contortus, ISE/inbred ISE, WGS project CAVP01000000 data, contig: Hcontortus_12648